UGUACUUUCCUUGGCUCUAAUUGGUAGAUAAAGGGAGGCAGCUGGGCUCUGACCAGUAACCACUCAAGGACAACAGUGUUAUUCUAAGAAAACUGCCUUCACAGUAGGAAAGCUUCAGAUGAUGUGCUGCCCUCCAAACUGUUGUCUGUGAUUUUUAUUUAAAAAAACAACCCCAAAACUUACUGUCUGUAAGGGAGUCCCAUCCCCAUUAACUACAACUAUCAACUUUGCAAAAGAAGGGAAUACAAUAAUUUAAAAAAAAAGAAUAUGCUGCCUUACCUAUAGUUGUUCCCAGCUGGACCUUCAAGUGAGGACAGCAUUAGAUGCUACCUGUGCUGCAAUACAGUGGAUGCUGUUCAGUUGCUUUCAAGUACACCUGGAGCCAGCCUCUGCCAUUACCUGGGAUUAGAUUUUGUAGUUCAUGUUUAGCCAGGUUCAGAAUCUUAAAAUUGAAGAAAUCAUGGUGGAAACUGUCCUGGCACCAUGGACAAUAUUCUUGGUCAUCUUCGCUGCAGUGCUCAUAAUGAGCUUUUUGAUGUUUCUUCCCCCUGCUGCCGUUGUGAUCUGGAGAAUGAAGUAUAUGCCUCAAAUAUCUUUGAAUGGAGCUGUAUAACUAGGCCUCUUGGAUGAUAUAAUUCCAUGGAUCCCAUCAAAGACUCUAAAUAAACCAAGCUAUGAAAGUGUCUCAUAGAUAGCAAUUAUUGCUUGAGAUCCAUCAUGAGACUGAGCUUUUCCAAAGUCUAUAAUUGCUGAAAUCCUGCAGGAUGCUGCAUCUAAUUAAUACAAAUGUAAUAUGGCUGCUACUACUCUACCUUCAACUUAUUGGCUGGGGGCUGGUAUGGCACAGGUGCUAAGGUAUACAGUUGAUAGCCCAGGAGUCACAAGUUUAAGGCCAUAGCCUCAGCACUCACAGUGCAGCCAGUCAGAUUCUAUUGAAUCUGGAAUUUCUGAUAAACAUUUUGUCACAAGAACAUGAGAAAAGAAAGGAAAAGACGUCAUUGGUUGUAUUGCAGCUAUCAUCACUUGUUUGUUUCUUGGACUGAGUUUCUCUUUAUGACCAUCCCUGACAAAAUAUGACUAGAGAAAAGCAAGUGUAUAAUGCUGUGGUCUCUGACUGCCCUUAAGUAAUCUGAAUGCUGCUUGCCUUUUUCUACUUAUGAAUAGGCACUUGCAAGCAGUUGCAGCAAAUUGUCUUACUUUUAAAACAUAUGGCAAUUAUAAAAGUCUGAGAAGUUCAAGGCAAAUGGUACGCACUAGGAAGUAUUAUUUAUCACAAUCUGACAAAAGCUUAAAAAGGGAGUGAUGCUAUAGAAAGUAUAUUGUGGUACUGCUAAUGGUUAUUCAACCAUUAGUCUUGCACCUGCAUGAUUUGAAAACUUGUUCGUGGUCUAGAACACUUGUUUUUCUUGUCUGCUUUUUUUGCAAAUUCUAACAGUCGGAACACAAAGCUAGCCCCAGCCCUUGGCUAGAAUUUUGGUUUGAUUUAUAUGCUCUGGUGCUCAAAUAUGCCAAUGUAAACACCGACUAUGACAAGUUAAUACAAACAGACUGCAGGUGUUUUCCCUGAAAUAUAGUAUAUGAAUGUACUGGAGGAAAUAGUGAGAUGUAUUUAAAACUAAAGGAAAUUUAAAUAAACAUGAUUGCUUACUUUGUGCGCC